AGAGUUUGAUCCUGGCUCAGGAUGAACGCUGGCGGCGUGCUUAACACAUGCAAGUCGAACGAACCUUCGGGUUAGUGGCGGACGGGUGAGUAACGCGUGAGAAUCUGCCCUCAGGAGGGGGAUAACGGCUGGAAACGGCCGCUAAUACCCCAUAUGCCGAGAGGUGAAAUGAAUUUCGCCUGAGGAUGAGCUCGCGUCUGAUUAGCUAGUUGGUGUGGUAAAGGCUCACCAAGGCAUCGAUCAGUAGCUGGUCUGAGAGGAUGAUCAGCCACACUGGGACUGAGACACGGCCCAGACUCCUACGGGAGGCAGCAGUGGGGAAUUUUCCGCAAUGGGCGCAAGCCUGACGGAGCAACGCCGCGUGAGGGAUGAAGGCCUCUGGGCUGUAAACCUCUUUUAUCAAGGAAGAAGAUCUGACGGUACUUGAUGAAUAAGCCACGGCUAAUUCCGUGCCAGCAGCCGCGGUAAUACGGGAGUGGCAAGCGUUAUCCGGAAUUAUUGGGCGUAAAGCGUCCGCAGGCGGUCUUGAAAGUCUGUUGUUAAAGCGUGGAGCUCAACUCCAUUUCAGCAAUGGAAACUAGAAGACUAGAGUGUGGUAGGGGCAGAGGGAAUUCCCGGUGUAGCGGUGAAAUGCGUAGAUAUCGGGAAGAACACCAGUGGCGAAGGCGCUCUGCUGGGCCAUAACUGACGCUCAUGGACGAAAGCCAGGGGAGCGAAAGGGAUUAGAUACCCCUGUAGUCCUGGCCGUAAACGAUGAACACUAGGUGUCGGGGGAAUCGACCCCCUCGGUGUCGUAGCCAACGCGUUAAGUGUUCCGCCUGGGGAGUACGCACGCAAGUGUGAAACUCAAAGGAAUUGACGGGGGCCCGCACAAGCGGUGGAGUAUGUGGUUUAAUUCGAUGCAACGCGAAGAACCUUACCAGGGUUUGACAUCCUGCGAAUCCCUUGGAAACUUGGGAGUGCCUUCGGGAGCGCAGUGACAGGUGGUGCAUGGCUGUCGUCAGCUCGCGUCGUGAGAUGUUGGGUUAAGUCCCGCAACGAGCGCAACCCACGUCUUUAGUUGCCAGCAUUAAGUUGGGCACUCUAGAGAGACUGCCGGUGAUAAACCGGAGGAAGGUGUGGAUGACGUCAAGUCAUCAUGCCCCUUACAUCCUGGGCUACACACGUACUACAAUGCUACGGACAAAGGGCAGCAAACUCGCGAGAGCUAGCAAAUCCCAUAAACCGUGGCUCAGUUCAGAUCGUAGGCUGCAACUCGCCUACGUGAAGGAGGAAUCGCUAGUAAUCGCAGGUCAGCGUACUGCGGUGAAUACGUUCCCGGGCCUUGUACACACCGCCCGUCACACCAUGGAAGUUGGCCACGCCCGAAGUCGUUACUCCAACCCGCAAGGGAGGAGGAUGCCGAAGGUGGGGCUGAUGACUGGGGUGAAGACGAAACAAGGUA
rnacentral:rRNA from 1 species